rnacentral:lncRNA from 1 species
UACAUUAUGACAACCACUGAGCAAGGCAGCCUUGCUCAGUAUAUAUAGGCUGAUAAAGUGCUCUAACAAGAGAGAGACACAAGCCAAAGAGGUGCCACAAGAGGGCAAGCACGAGGGCCAAAGCAAGGAAGGAGUUUUGGACUUUUGUCCUUGGCCAAACUCUGAAAGGGAGAGAACAUACAAAGACAGCUGUUAUAUUGGUUUGUGUAUCACAAACACAGCUGUAGCCUUAGAGCUCUUACAUCAUGAGUCACGGGUUGAAACAAAGGCAUCAAACCCAAAACUAAAUUGACCACAAAGGCAAGAUCUUUAUAUAUUCUAGUUGUCAAUUUGAAAUUCAAAUUAGGAUCUCCCCUAGACAUAAAAUUAAUACCACAAGGGUAAAGAAACUUAAACAUAAGACAACAGAACAAAAGAUCAAAAAGCUGGAAACCCAGAUUUUUAGGAUGGCAAGUGAUACUGCUAUCCUCUGUGAAAAACCAUGAAAUGCACAUGCAUGAUUUUACCUGAGUUCCAUGAGAUCAUAUUGGUUCUUCUACUUCUUCAACUUGUUCUUCAGGUGUGCAAGACCAAUCUCCCAAUUGCUUUAGGCUUCAUAGGUUGUGUUUUGUUCUAUAUAAGGAUUGCCAACAACCUUUUACCUUCAUUCUCCCCCUUUAGCAUUCCUUAACAAAACACACCAAGACAAGGCUGUUCAGACAUACUCUCAACCUGCACAAGAACUUUCAAGAACAAGUGAAAAAUAGGAGAAUAAUUAUGAAUAUUAAAAAUAACCAGGGAUAGCAGAUGCAUCAUAUAUCCUGAAGCAUAAUCACAUAAGCAUAUGAGCAUAAAUCCCAAUAUUCAUAAAUCCCAACAACCAAUAAGCUCUAAAGUAUAACCAACAACUCGUAUGAACAGCCAGCAACCAGUUCUUCUCCCCCUUUUUGUCAAGGAAUGACAAAGGGAAACCAUAUGUUCAAGGAGACAUAAAGAGAGCCGAGAAUGAUAAAACCAAACUAAACAAGGUCAGAGCGGUUCAAUAUAAUCACAUAUACGUCUCAUCCUCAGCAUUAUCAACAUCAUUUGCAGCGUCCUAAUCCUCACCAUUAAAGGCGGCAAGAAGCAUCUCUUAUUUGAACAAAUUUUGCUCAAGAGACUCGACAUACACAUUGAAUAGUCAUAAAGACUUAGCAAUAGGUGUCAACAGGGGAUAAGUGAGUAGCAAAGACAUCAUGAUGUCACACUCAAACAUUAGCUACAAAGAAUAGCUUGGUGGAAAGACCUAGAUGACCAAGAGACAACUCUCGGAGGGUAUAUGCGGGAUACCAGCAGGUUUUGAUAUCCUGGAGAAGUAUGGUUAAGCACAAAGGAAGAUAUUUAGAUCUGAUCUAAGCUUAACAUCUGAACCAAUGUCCUAAGGGGAAUCUGCAUAAAGACCACACACCCAUGUAUGGUUAACCCUAAGAAAAGACACUAGGCAAUUAACCCAUCCUAACCCAUCAACAAACAAAUUCACAUCAAGAGGAAAUGUUUUAAGGUCAAUGGAAUUCUCAUAACAAGCAGCCUCGAAAGAGUAACAUGAACUCAUAAAAGGCAAAGUGAGAACAAGGAGGGAGAGCUAGGGAUAUCUGAGGGAUCAUCCUUACGGGAGACAAUGUGGGUUUGGCAUCCCCUACAGCAGCUGAAGCUUUGCAUUUAAUAAUAGGGAUAUUGACCCCAAAUUUGAGUUUAGGCAUACACUCCAAACAAUAACAUCAACAACAAUCAACACAUUGGUCAGUGCACCUCAAUAUGAACUAAAGUGAAUGAUGGUGGAAAGGCUAUCAAGGGAGAUGAAGGUGAAAAGAUCAAGGGAGAGUAGAGCAAUUAGCAUGGCAUCUAGGCAGCGGAGAAAGCGUCGUGGUAUGACGUCAGAGUAUGCCACUGAAAACUACAACUCACUCAUGCUUGAAACAACUAUAGUUCAAUCCCUUCAACUCUCAUGUCCACAUACUUGAGAGAGAGUCCAACUAUCUCAUAUGAAACAAACCAAUGAUCAAAGAAAAAGUCAAUAUCCUUCUUGGAACAGAAGUGAUGCUUCAAAUCACAUAAGUACAACCCACAUGUAAUAGGGCAUAACCACAAACAAGCAAUCUCACACUCAAAACAUGUAAAACAUGAGAAGAAGUUCCCAGAAUGUUUUGACAACCUAAAAAGGAUUAAGAUGCAAGUAUGUGUAUAGCCCAUAUAAUCAAACAACUCCCCCUAAGAGGGUGCAUUGCUCCCCCUAUGAGUGUGCACAAUAUAAAAGAAGCAACAACUAGAUGCAAGACCUAGGAAACCAUCCCAUAUUCAUAUAUAUCCCAACCAGAUCAUCACAUACUUACAAUCAACAACCAUUCACUUACAAACCAUCCCAUAUAUGUCCUUAAUCAACAACCACACACUUACACAAGAGUUUUCAAAAACUUUUGACAACCUUAAUUUUAAGAAAUAUAAGAUGUGUGUGUACCACCGAUUAUCAAUUACUCCCCCUAAGAGUGUGCAUAAAAAAAACUUAUCUAGUUGAAAUAAAAUGACACACAAGAAGUAACAAGUAAACAACCUACUGAGGAUACCAAUGUAUACCAUUCAAAUCCCUGCAUGUAGAUAGUUUGAGCAUAAACACACAAAGUAAGACACCAAGAUUUCAAAUGUCUUAAUCACUAUGCUAGUCCACAUGUAUAUAUGACUGUGAAGUAAUCACCAUGGUCCAUUAAANNNNNNNNNNNNNNNNNNNNAUCUAUACUUUCUCUCUUGUUUCUGAGUACCUCACUCCUUACAAGAUUACAGUAUAGGAUACAGCAACGACUUGCUAUCCUACCUAGUCCCAAACUAGUCUAGAUCUACCUCUCUUGUCUCUAAGUGGCUACACAUGAAAGUAUAAGAAGUUUCAACUAAGAACUCAGCUAUCACUUAACUGAUUCUUCUUGAAGACUUCUAAGAAGUUUCACUCUCAGAAACUCAGCUAUCCUAAACUGAUUCUUUCAUGAACCCAGCUACCUCAGCGGGAUACAUCAGAACUCAGCUAUCCUCAGCUGCUUCUUUCAUGAACACUUCCUGGGUUGCUGCACUACCAACUGAUCUCAUGGUAUGCAGAAUGCAAUGAGUUUAUGAGAAGAUGUUUUUGUUCAGCUCUAAGGUUUAUAAUCACAAAAGGAAGACUUAGAGACUAAUGAACAAUACAAAGUAAAACCAAAAACCCAACAAAGGGAGAAACCCAACAAAGCAAAUGUAGAAACUACAUUUUGACAACCACUGAGAAAAGGCAGCCUUGCUCAGUAUAUAUAGGCUGAUGGAGUGCUCUAACAAGAGAGAGACACAAGCCAAAGAGGUGCCACAAGAGGGCAAGCACGAGGGCCAAAGCAAGGAAGGGUUUUGGACUUUUGUCCUUGGCCAAACUCUGAAAGGGAGAGGACAUACAAAGACAACUGUUAUAUUGGUUUGUGUAUCACAAACACAGCUGUAGUCUUGGAGCUCUUACAUCAUGAGUCACGGGUUGAAACAAAGGCAUCAAACCCAAAACUAAAUUGACCACAAAGGCAAGAUCUUUAUAUAUUCUAGUUGUCAAUUUGAAAUUCAAAUUAGGAUCUCCCCUAGACAUAAAAUUAAUGCCACAAGGGUAAAGAAACUUAAACAUAAGACAACAGAACAAAAGAUCAAAAAGCUGGAAACCCAGAUUUUUAGGAUGGCAAGUGAUACUGCUAUCCUCUGUGAAAACCAUGAAAUGCACAUGCAUGAUUUUACCUGAGUUCCAUGAGAUCAUAUUGGUUCUUCUACUUCUUCAACUUGUUCUUCAGGUGUGCAAGACCAAUCUCCCAAUUGCUUUAGGCUUCAUAGGUUGUGUUUUGUUUUAUAUAAGGAUUGCCAACAACCUUUUACCUUCAUUGUUUGAAUAUUAUUGUCUUUCCAGAUAAGUCUUCUAUUGCAGCUGACCUAUUUUAAGGCCGUGAAGAAGGUGCUGCAACGGCAACUUGGAGAUGA